AUGAAUCAAUGUGUAACAAUAAGGCAAAAGCACUGGUUGGGACUACUUCUCAGCAAAAGCACACCACACUCAUGUUCACCACAAAUCCACAGCAAUGAAUCAAUGUGUAACAAUAAGGCAAAAGCACUGCAAUUCACUCACACGGUAAGGCUGAUCAGAGGUCUCAAUCCAUUCGUUACACUCCCUGGGGGCUAUUCAAUCCUCAAUUCCUCUUCAGCACACUCUGAAACACAUAGCUUCCCCAACAGUCAGAUUUACAUUCACUGUAUCCUCUUCAAGCUUUUCGAAUGUUUGUAAGAUGAAAUCAAUUCACUUAUCUUUCUCUCUCCCUUCACAGCGCAGAUCCAAUCGAUAAAUCAGUCCAGCAGAUUCCCACAGACGAACUCUGUUCCAGCAGACUUCAAUAGAAAAACCUUUUCCCCGGAGACUUCAACAGGAAACCUUCACGCCCAAAUAACUUCCCUGGGCAAGCUUGUGCGCAAAACUGCUCCACAAAGACCCACCGCGCCCCGAAACUUCUCUGAAUAGCCCUUUUAUCUUUUGCUUGUAAAGCAGGAAGCCUAUGUGCACGCCGCUCCUCUCUCUCUCGCACCUGCAGUGCAUUAGAGCUAAUGGCGCGACGAAGGGUGUCCCAAACUGAAGUGUGUGGACUCCGAAUUGCGGAUGUGAAGUGCGAUUGCGUCACAGCGUCACGACGUAAGCUGUCCCAAAGUCGGAAUGCGCACUUCGAAGACCGCAUUUGAAGUGCGAAUCCGUCACCGCGGCGCGACGAAGGCUGACGAGUUUCGAAAGCGACUUCAAAUGCGCCCUUCAUUUCCCAUGAAAAUGAAGUGUACAUCUAAUGGACACUUCGCACCCUUCCAUAUCCCAGAAUCUCUUGCGUGCAUAUGACGAAGGUGUUUAUAUUCAGAGGCAGGUGAGAGUUCUGUGGAGGACUUCACAUUGAAAUGUAAGUAUUGUGUUUUCAUUUACUCAAAUACCUAGCGAAAGUGUUUAAAGCCAGUUUUUUUUUAACAUAAAGCCCACAAACAAUAAGACAGCCACUAUAUAAGGCAAUGGUCUUUCCCUUUGUUGUUUCUGUAGUGCAGUCAUGCAAGAGAUGUCUACAAAUGUUUUAACCAAACUUUAGCACUUCAGUAUUUUGUAUGCAUGUCCUGCUGUGUCAUAUUUUCUAAUGUUAAGAUUGCAAACCUGUCUUUUUUCAUAAGUGUUUCCAUUUUCUUUUGUUUUAAUACUAUUCUGCAGGGGUUGGGGACGUACUUCUCAGCAAAAGCACACCACACUCAUGUUCACCACAAAUCCACAGCAAUGAAUCAAUGUGUAACAAUAAGGCAAAAGCAAAAAAACUGCAAUUCACUCACACGGUAAGGGCUGAUCAGAGGUCUCAAUCCAUUCGUUACACUCCCGUGGGGGAUAUUCAAUCCUCAAUUCCUCUUCAGCACACUCUGAAACACAUAGAAACACAUAGCUUCCCAACAGUCAGAUUUACAUUCACUGUAUCCUCUUCAAGCUUUUCGAAUGUUUGUAAGAUGAAAUCAAUUCACUUAUCUUUCUCUCUCCCUUCACAGCGCAGAUCCAAUCGAUAAAUCAGUCCAGCAGAUUCCCACAGACGAACUCUGUUCCAGCAGACUUCAAUAGAAAAACCUUUUCCCCGGAGACUUCAACAAGAAACCUUCACACCCAAAUAACUUCCCUGGGCAAGCUUGUGCCCAAAACUGCUCCACAAAGACCCACCGCGCCGAAACUUCUCUGAAUAGCCCUUUUAUCCUUUGCUUGUAAAGCAGGAAGCCUAUGUGCACGCCGCUCCUCUCUCUCUCGCACCUGCAGUGCAUUAGCGCUAAUCAGGCCGGACAAUGUUUCUGCCGCACCCGGAACCGGAGUGGGAUGUGUCGCACACAAAUCGUUCCCUCGGGAAACUCGUGACUCGUCAAGAGGGUUCCGCUCGCUGAGCGUUUUUGCACCCGUGACAUCAUUUAAAUAAUUAGACAUGCUAAAACACAGAAUUUGGUAACAAUAAAACAUAUGGUAAAGAAAAAAUAAAAUGUUUCAUAGGGCCCUAAACGUAAUUUUUUGUUAAACUUUUAAUAAAUUGUUGUGAAAAUGUAUGAGUGUUAUGAUUUAAAUUAAUUAGAAAUGCUUUUUGAUUAAUACAAUUAAACUGAACCAUUAAAACGAGUUGAGAAAAAAUAAAACAGAAAAAAAUGGAAUCCAGAAAAAUUAAAACAGAAAAACAGAAUUUGGAAAAAAAUAAAAUGGAAUUUGGGAAAAAAUAAAACUGAUUUCAUAGGGCCCUAAAAAAGGAAAGUAAAGUAAUAAGUAGUGAAGUUACUUUUCAAAUGCAGUAACUAGUAAAGUAAUCUCAUUACAAUUUACAGAAGUAACUAGUAACUAAUUACUAAUUACAUUUUUUGAGUAACUACCCCAACACUGGUAACUAAUGUGUGGUUUAAAACUGUAAGACUGGUAAUCUGAUAUUCAUUAGCUUUUUCACAAUUUUUUUCACCAACUGUUCCAAGAAAAAAAAAAAAAAAAAAACGUGUUCAUGUUGCUAAUCCACCUGAGCAUGACUCUGUACAAAAUUCUUACAAACAGUUCCAGGCUCUGAAUCCCAGCACAGUUGGCUAACCAUGCUCAACUGUGCUCAACUUUGUUGGUGGAACGAACACCUGUAAUGAUGUCAUCAUGGUUUCUGUAGUAUGUCUAUCCAAUAAAUAUGUCAGUGCUUGGC
rnacentral:lncRNA from 1 species